UACGUAGGGUGCAAGCGUUAAUCGGAAUUACUGGGCGUAAAGCGUGCGCAGGCGGUUUUGUAAGACAGAGGUGAAAUCCCCGGGCUCAACCUGGGAACUGCCUUUGUGACUGCAAGGCUUGAGUGCGGCAGAGGGGGAUGGAAUUCCGCGUGUAGCAGUGAAAUGCGUAGAGAUCCGGAAGAACACCGGUGGCGAAGGCGGUUAGCUGGGCAGUUGCUGACACUGAGGCGCGACAGCGUGGGGAGCAAACAGG
rnacentral:rRNA from 1 species